rnacentral:rRNA from 1 species
CAGAGGGAAGCAAGACCGCGAGGUGGAGCAAAUCCCUAAAAGCCAUCCCAGUUCGGAUUGCAGGCUGCAACCCGCCUGUAUGAAGUUGGAAUCGCUAGUAAUCGCGGAUCAGCAUGCCGCGGUGAAUACGUUCCCGGGCCUUGUACACACCGCCCGUCACACCAUGAGAGUCGGGAACACCCGAAGUCCGUAGCCUAACCGCAAGGGGGGCGCGGCCGAGGGUGGGUUCGAUAAUUGGGGUGAAGUCGUAACAAGGUACC